CCACUCGACUGAGAUUCAAUACAAGCGCUGUGUCAAAUCUGAUAUUACAGUAAUGUUGUUUUGAUAUGUGGUAUUUAUUUAACAAUGCCAUGGAAAGUCAAUUAAAAAAGUCCAUUUAUAGGGUUAAAGUGCAUCCAAACAGAACAAAAAAAUAUCUUGCAAAUUUGACAAAUGACAUAAAAGAGUCUUCUUAUUAACAAGCCGGACAAUGAAUGAAUGGAAUACAAAAUCUCGACGUAUGUGAAAUCAGGCUUCAAAAUGGUCAAAAAUUGCAACAUUCAUUCAGCUUCCAGACGCUGUGGGCGUGCCGCUAAAUGCUCUCAAAAUCCCACCUUCCCGUUGUUGUGUUGUGUUCCCUUGCAGGACUGACAACGCUGCUAUACUCUUAACAUAUGGCUUAGUUUAAAGUCUCUUGCCUUAAAUCAAAACAGUUCCAAAAAACGGAUGUCGAUCGGCGGCACAGUGGACGACUGAACUGCCUCAACAGCUCCUGUGGCAGGCCGUGUUUCCUCAGAAGCCGCAGGAAGUACAUCCUCUGCUGGGCCUUUUUGCAGAUGGAGAUGAUGUUGGCCUCCCACUUCAGGUCCUGAGAAACUGUAAUUCCCAGGAACUUGAAGGUUUCAACGGUUGACACAGGGCAGUUAGACAGCGUGAGGGGCAGCUGUGGCGAAGAAUGCCUCCUGAAGUUCACAAUCAUCUCUACAGGCUUGAGCGUGUUCAGCUGCAGGUUGUGUCGGCCGCACCACAGCUCCAGCCGCUCCACUUCCUGUCGAUAUGCAGACUCGUCACCGUCUUUAAAGAGGCCGAUUAUAGUAUAAACGGACCGGAAGAACCGGAGGUGCGUGGCAAAACCCCCAUUGAAAGCCUUCCCACAAGAGUUGAAGCUGUUACAGCUGCAAAGGGUAGACCAACAUCUUAUUGAACCAUCUGGAUUUAGAAUGGGAUAUCACUUAAAAUCAUAUGUGAUUCAAGGCAAGUGAGCGAAUACUUUUGGCAAUGUAGUGUAGAUGCAAACAUGUUAGCACAACUGAAAUCGCACCUAAUCAAUUUUGUCAUAGUUGGACCGUGACAUGGAGUGAAUAAUGUCGUAAAAAAUCAAUAACUCUUCAGGUGUUUCAUUUGGCUGCUUUUUCUGUGACACUUAUUGCAAAAGAAAUCUCAAGAAGAGGUGUGAGGGGACAAGAUUGUUAGACGAAAAGAAUAAUAUACACCAGAAUUAAAUAAAAGGGAUUCACAUUCAAAGCAGUAAAGCUUGGUACACUUAUAAUGAUAAUCAAGACGAAUUUGAGCAUCCCCCCAGUCCAUUCCAAAUUGGCAAAAGGCAGAUUAUCUGAUGUGUGGGGUGUCUCUGUCACUUUUUACAAAUCGGUUUGGAUAUUUAAAUUCUGUGUACUGUACCUUAAAGUGCGGUACACACAACAAGCCCAAUUGUUUGAUGUCUAUACUCUCUAAUAGUUAUCCCGACCGAUUAUCCUGUGGAGUAGGGUGCUUUAUAAGUGAUUUUUCCAGAUGAUGCACUCAUGCUACCGUAUGUUCUUAAUAAGGCAGCAGGAGCAAAACUCAGUUCGGUUGUACUUUAUUGACGUAUUUAACAAUGUACUCACGCUAUUUUUUUUUAUCAAUCCUCAUCCACAAAUCCAUCAAAGUCCUCAUCUUUUGUAUCCGAAAUGACCAGCUGGGGAAUUUCGCCAUCAAACAUGCCGGGUUCCCUCUCAUCAUUGUCGGACGGGGGCAUGCCUUUAGCGUCCUCCUUCACGCGCACCCUUCCCCCUUUACAUCCACAUGCUGUCCUCAGUCAUGUCCGCCUUCCUCUAUAUAAGCAGCGUGUCGGCAGGAAAUGCUCCCAGUCAAUCAAGCGGAGCGCUCAUCAAAGUCACACAACAACAUUUACAGAUUUUGGAACUUGGUGGACACAUAAGGCGCGCCGCAUCAUAAGGCGCCCCGUCCAUUUUGGAGAAAAUGUAAGACUUUUAAGUGUGCCUUAUGGUCAUGAAAAUACGGUAACUACAAUGACAUUUUACAUGUGCAAAACUAACUAAAACUAAUAAAUAUUUAUAGCGAAAAUAUCUUUUGUUUUCAUCUUUGUCAAUUUCAUACAUGAGCUUUCGACGUUGAUUUUAAAUAGAUUUUUUUUGGGAUAAAUACAGAACGGAUACGGAAGGAAGGUCAAAACGUCUUUUGGGAAUUGUAGUUCACUUACUGUGUGUCGCCUUGAAGUGACAUCCUUCGGGCAGCGCCGUCAUAUUGACGGCUCGCCAGACCAAGCACAAGUUUUGCCGCAAAGCUAAUAACUUUUACAUCCAACCUGUGUUUGUUGCUACGUGUUGUUAACUGAAACGGCUCAGAUGGCCACCGACUAGCUAGUGCAUUCAUGGAACCUGCAUGUCGUUUAUUGGUCUUUUUGGGGAAACUUCAGAGAAACGGACAACUGCCUAGAGUCUCAAAAUGCUGCUGUUUCCCACCAUAAAAGGCAGAUGUGAAAGCAGACAAGGAGUUUGUCUCGCUUACACAGCAGGUGAUUGAACUACUGCCAACAACCCUUCAGCAACAGCAGGAAAACUUGAAAAGCUUUGUCACAAUAAUCAUGGACUGAAUAAAAAAAAUCAGACUGGAGGCACUUUCACUGGAGAUACAGCAAGUAAAAGCAAGCUUACGUUCUCUGUCUGUCUAUCUAACAGUCCACUUGAGAAGUUUGCAAUUUAGCAACAACGGAAGGAGAACAUGAAAAUAAGAACGAAAGAUAUUUUUUGUGUUAGUUAAACGUAUAAACACAUAUUUAUUAAAAGGCCAUACUACAGCAUGUGUCUCAUGAAUGGUUUUACUGUACGUUGUGAUGCAUCUAACCUUAGAAGCAGUAUUAUGCAUUUCUGUGGACUGUUAUACAGUAACUGGAUUUGAUUUGUGGAUGGUUGUUCAUCUGUUAGAAAGUAAAUACCUUUUUUUAUUGUAAUAUUGUUGAGUUUUGAUUACACA